GGAUGGAUGGCAGAGCGGUUGAAUGCAACGGUCUUGAAAACCGUCGAGGGUUCGCGCCCUCCGUGAGUUCGAAUCUCACUCCAUCCGCCA
rnacentral:tRNA from 1 species